rnacentral:rRNA from 1 species
GGAUCCAGACUUUGAUCCUGGCUCAGGAUGAACGCUAGCUACAGGCUUAACACAUGCAAGUCGAGGGGCACAUGGUCUUAGCUUGCUAAGGCCGAUGGCGACCGGCGCACGGGUGAGUAACACGUAUCCAACCUGCCGUCUACUCUUGGACAGCCUUCUGAAAGGAAGAUUAAUACAAGAUGGCAUCAUGAGUCCGCAUGUUCACAUGAUUAAAGGUAUUCCGGUAGACGAUGGGGAUGCGUUCCAUUAGAUAGUAGGCGGGGUAACGGCCCACCUAGUCUUCGAUGGAUAGGGGUUCUGAGAGGAAGGUCCCCCACAUUGGAACUGAGACACGGUCCAAACUCCUACGGGAGGCAGCAGUGAGGAAUAUUGGUCAAUGGGCGAGAGCCUGAACCAGCCAAGUAGCGUGAAGGAUGACUGCCCUAUGGGUUGUAAACUUCUUUUAUAAAGGAAUAAAGUCGGGUAUGGAUACCCGUUUGCAUGUACUUUAUGAAUAAGGAUCGGCUAACUCCGUGCCAGCAGCCGCGGUAAUACGGAGGAUCCGAGCGUUAUCCGAAUUUAUUGGGUUUAAAGGGAGCGUAGAUGGAUGUUUAAGUCAGUUGUGAAAGUUUGCGGCUCAACCGUAAAAUUGCAGUUGAUACUGGAUAUCUUGAGUGCAGUUGAGGCAGGCGGAAUUCGUGGUGUAGCGGUGAAAUGCUUAGAUAUCACGAAGAACUCCGAUUGCGAAGGCAGUCUGCUAAGCUGCAACUGACAUUGAGGCUCGAAAGUGUGGGUAUCAAACAGGAUUAGAUACCCUGGUAGUCCACACGGUAAACGAUGAAUACUCGCUGUUUGCGAUAUACAGCAAGCGGCCAAGCGAAAGCGUUAAGUAUUCCACCUGGGGAGUACGCCGGCAAC